rnacentral:tRNA from 1 species
GCCCCAGGAUCGGGCGCGGAUUCGAACUUGUAAAGCGAAGGUCGUCGGUUCGAAUCCGACAGGGGGCUCCA